GCCAGCAUGGUGUAGUGGUUUCAGUGUUGGGCUAGGAUUCCAGGAGACCAGGGUUCAAAACCAUGUUCAGCCA